ACUGGUCGAGUCGGCCUGCGCGGAAGAUGUAACGGGGCUAAACCAUGCACCGAAGCUGCGGCAGCGACGCUGAUGCGUUGUUGGGUAGGGGAGCGUUCUGUAAGCCUGCGAAGGUGACCUGUGAGGGUUGCUGGAGGUAUCAGAAGUGCGAAUGCUGACAUAAGUAACGAUAAAGCGGGUGAAAAGCCCGCUCGCCGGAAGACCAAGGGUUCCUGUCCAACGUUAAUCGGGGCAGGGUGAGUCGACCCCUAAGGCGAGGCCGAAAGGCGUAGUCGAUGGGAAACGGGUUAAUAUUCCCGUACUUGGUGUUACUGCGAAGGGGGGACGGAGAAGGCUAUGUUGGCCGGGCGACGGUUGUCCCGGUUUAAGCGUGUAGGUGUGUGUUCCAGGUAAAUCCGGUUCACUUUAACACUGAGGCGUGACGACGAGGCACUACGGUGCUGAAGCAACAAAUGCCCUGCUUCCAGGAAAAGCCUCUAAGCAUCAGGUAACACGAAAUCGUACCCCAAACCGACACAGGUGGUCAGGUAGAGAAUACCAAGGCGCUUGAGAGAACUCGGGUGAAGGAACUAGGCAAAAUGGUGCCGUAACUUCGGGAGAAGGCACGCUGACACGUAGGUGAAGUGAUUUACUCAUGGAGCUGAAGUCAGUCGAAGAUACCAGCUGGCUGCAACUGUUUAUUAAAAACACAGCACUGUGCAAACACGAAAGUGGACGUAUACGGUGUGACGCCUGCCCGGUGCCGGAAGGUUAAUUGAUGGGGUCAGCGCAAGCGAAGCUCCUGAUCGAAGCCCCGGUAAACGGCGGCCGUAACUAUAACGGUCCUAAGGUAGCGAAAUUCCUUGUCGGGUAAGUUCCGACCUGCACGAAUGGCGUAAUGAUGGCCAGGCUGUCUCCACCCGAGACUCAGUGAAAUUGAACUCGCUGUGAAGAUGCAGUGUACCCGCGGCAAGACGGAAAGACCCCGUGAACCUUUACUAUAGCUUGACACUGAACAUUGAGCCUUGAUGUGUAGGAUAGGUGGGAGGCUUUGAAGUGUGGACGCCAGUCUGCAUGGAGCCGACCUUGAAAUACCACCCUUUAAUGUUUGAUGUUCUAACGUGGACCCGUAAUCCGGGUUGCGGACAGUGUCUGGUGGGUAGUUUGACUGGGGCGGUCUCCUCCUAAAGAGUAACGGAGGAGCACGAAGGUUGGCUAAUCCUGGUCGGACAUCAGGAGGUUAGUGCAAUGGCAUAAGCCAGCUUGACUGCGAGCGUGACGGCGCGAGCAGGUGCGAAAGCAGGUCAUAGUGAUCCGGUGGUUCUGAAUGGAAGGGCCAUCGCUCAACGGAUAAAAGGUACUCCGGGGAUAACAGGCUGAUACCGCCCAAGAGUUCAUAUCGACGGCGGUGUUUGGCACCUCGAUGUCGGCUCAUCACAUCCUGGGGCUGAAGUAGGUCCCAAGGGUAUGGCUGUUCGCCAUUUAAAGUGGUACGCGAGCUGGGUUUAGAACGUCGUGAGACAGUUCGGUCCCUAUCUGCCGUGGGCGCUGGAGAACUGAGGGGGGCUGCUCCUAGUACGAGAGGACCGGAGUGGACGCAUCACUGGUGUUCGGGUUGUCAUGCCAAUGGCACUGCCCGGUAGCUAAAUGCGGAAGAGAUAAGUGCUGAAAGCAUCUAAGCACGAAACUUGCCCCGAGAUGAGUUCUCCCUGAGACUUAGAGUCUCCUGAAGGAACGUUGAAGACGACGACGUUGAUAGGCCGGGUGUGUAAGCGCAGCGAUGCGUUGAGCUAACCGGUACUAAUGAACCGUGAGGCUUAACCUU
rnacentral:rRNA from 1 species